rnacentral:rRNA from 4 species
GGAGGCAGCAGUGGGGAAUUUUCCGCAAUGGGCGAAAGCCUGACGGAGCAAGACCGCGUGGGGGAGGAAGGUUCUUGGAUUGUCAACCCCUUUUCUCAGGGAAGAACACAAUGACGGUACCUGAGGAAAAAGCAUCGGCUAACUCCGUGCCAGCAGCCGCGGUAAUACGGGGGAUGCAAGCGUUAUCCGGAAUGAUUGGGCGUAAAGAGUCCGUAGGUAGUCAUCCAAGUCUGCUGUUAAAGAGCGAGGCUUAACCUCGUAAAGGCAGUGGAAACUGGAAGACUAGAGUGUAGUAGGGGCAGAGGGAAUUCCUGGUGUAGCGGUGAAAUGCGUAGAGAUCAGGAAGAACACCGGUGGCGAAGGCGCUCUGCUGGGCUAUAACUGACACUGAGGGACGAAAGCUAGGGGAGCGAAUGGGAUUAGAUACCCCAGUAGUCCUAGCGGUAAACGAUGGAAACUAGGUGUGGCCUGUAUCGACC